AUACGGAGGGUGCAAGCGUUGUUCGGAAUCAUUGGGCGUAAAGCGCACGCAGGCGGACUUUCAAGUCUGAUGUGAAAGCCCGGGGCUCAACCCCGGAAGUGCAUUGGAUACUGGCAGACUUGAGUAUGGGAGAGGAAAGCGGAAUUCCGAGUGUAGGAGUGAAAUCCGUAGAUAUUCGGAGGAACACCAGUGGCGAAGGCGGCUUUCUGGACCAAUACUGACGCUGAGAUGCGAAAGCGUGGGGAGCAAACAGGAUUAGAAACCCCGGUAGUCC
rnacentral:rRNA from 1 species